CACCGCCUGGGGAGUACGACCGCAAGGUUAAAACUCAAAUGAAUUGACGGGGACCCGCACAAGUAGUGGAGCAUGUGGUUUAAUUCGAAGAUACGCGCAGAACCUUACCAACACUUGACAUGUUCGUCGCGACUUUAAGAGAUUAGAGUUUUCGGUUCGGCCGGACGAAACACAGGUGCUGCAUGGCUGUCGUCAGCUCGUGUCGUGAGAUGUUGGGUUAAGUCCCGCAACGAGCGCAACCCUCACUUUUAGUUGCCAUCAUUUAGUUGGGCACUCUGAAAGAACUGCCAGUGAUAAGCUGGAGGAAGGUGGGGAUGACGUCAAGUCCUCAUGGCCCUUACGUGUUGGGCUACACACGUGCUACAAUGGUAUCUACAACAGGAAGCAAGACGGUGACGUUAAGCAAAUCCUUAAAAGAUACCUCAGUUCGGAUUGCACUCUGCAACUCGAGUGCAUGAAGCUGGAAUUACUAGUAAUCGUGGAUCAGCGUGCCACGGUGAAUGCGUUCCCGGGUCUUGUACACACCGCCCGUCACACCAUGGGAGUUGGUUCUACCUUAAGGCAAGGUUUCAAACCCUUGACCACGGUAUAGUCAGCGACUGGGGUGAAGUCGUAACAAGGUAGCCGUAGGGGAACCUGCGGCUGGAUUACCUCCUUUCUAAGGAUGAAUGAAAGUAAUAUUUCAUUCUAAAUAAUAAACAUAGGCAAUGUUGACCGUCCUCAUUUCUCUUCUUAAAGUUAGUGUUUCUCUUGCAUGGGGGCCGGUAGCUCAGUUGGUUAGAGCACACCCUUGAUAAGGGUGGGGUCGAAAGUUCGAGUCUUUCUCGGCCCACCAAUAAGAUCAUGGGGGGAUUAGCUCAGCUGGGAGAGCGCCUGAUUUGCAUUCAGGAGGUCAGCGGUUCGAUCCCGCUAUCCUCCACCAAAAACACUUAGUUAUCAAAAAUUGUGAAUAAAAAUAAUAAUUAAUAUCAAUAUCUAUAUCCGAACAUUAGAAAUGUUAUUAGCUAAUGUUCAAAUAAAAAUUUGAUUCAACACAGAAUUUUUUUCUG
rnacentral:sRNA from 1 species